GCUGAUCGGACGGGCAUAAUAGAUUUUUUUUUAAGUUUUAGUCUGAUCUAUUUAACUAAACACAUGCUUUAUAAAAAACUUGUGUAUGACCUUUUUAUUAAACGAACUAGGUCGAGGUAGACUUUAAAUAGGCUAGGUCAUAGGUCCCAAUCAGACGGUUUGACCUGCUCUCACAUCUGCUCAUACUCACGUCAUUUUUUUACUCUCCAUUUUUUUUCUCUCUUUACUAUUUUUAAUUAUUAAGAAUAAAAGAAAAGAAGUAUGUCCCAACUGCCAUCUAUUAAAUAGGAGGCAUUCUUUCAUGAUCACAAACACAAAUGCAU
rnacentral:lncRNA from 1 species